CCAAAACCUUUUCUCAAGAGAGAUAUUUUCUUCCACUCGCGAUGGGGAGUAGACGGGGAAUUAGUUUUUUAUCAAAGGAAAACACCAUAAGUAAGUGAUUUACCUCGUUUACAUGUAUUUUAUAAGAUGAUAUUACUUUAUGGUGAUAUUUAAAUGCUCUGCGCGCCUAAACGAGCCUAACGGUUCCUCACAGAUUUGAACUGCUGUUCAGAAGACCAUGAUGGUGCAGACGCGGAAAAGUCCAGAAAGAGAUAUUUUCUUUCACUCACAAAGCGGAGCAGACGGGGAAGUUGGUUUUAACAAGGAAAACACGGAAAAUGGAAACUGCAGAGAACCACAUCCUGUCUUCCUGAAAAAAAGAAAGAGACUACUUUCUCCAAGGAGGUCCAAACGCCAUUGGCACAGACUUUGUUCAGUGAUCAGUAACAUACAUUCAGCCAGGGCCGUCCUUAAGGGGGUGCAACUGAUGCGGUCGCACCGGUCCACACUUGAGGGGUAAACGGACUGAA